rnacentral:rRNA from 1 species
AGAGUUUGAUCAUGGCUCAGGAUGAACGCUGGCGGCGUGCGUAAUACAUGCAAGUCGAACGCUUUGUCUUUAAUUGAUCUGACGAGCUUGCUCUGAUGUGAUUUUAUCUGACAAAGAGUGGCGAACGGGUGAGUAACACGUGGGUAACCUACCUCUUAGCAGGGGAUAACAUUUGGAAACAAGUGCUAAUACCCGUAUAAUACCAACAACCGCAUGGUUGUUGGUUGAAAGGUGGUCCUGCUAUCACUAAGAGAUGGACCCGCGGUGCAUUAGCUAGUUGGUAAGGUAACGGCUUACCAAGGCAAUGAUGCAUAGCCGAGUUGAGAGACUGAUCGGCCACAAUGGGACUGAGACACGGCCCAUACUCCUACGGGAGGCAGCAGUAGGGAAUCUUCCACAAUGGGCGCAAGCCUGAUGGAGCAACGCCGCGUGUGUGAUGAAGGGUUUCGGCUCGUAAAACACUGUUAUAAGAGAAGAACGGCACUGAGAGUAACUGUUCAGUGUGUGACGGUAUCUUACCAGAAAGGAACGGCUAAAUACGUGCCAGCAGCCGCGGUAAUACGUAUGUUCCAAGCGUUAUCCGGAUUUAUUGGGCGUAAAGCGAGCGCAGACGGUUAUUUAAGUCUGAAGUGAAAGCCCUCAGCUCAACUGAGGAAUGGCUUUGGAAACUGGAUGACUUGAGUGCAGUAGAGGAAAGUGGAACUCCAUGUGUAGCGGUGAAAUGCGUAGAUAUAUGGAAGAACACCAGUGGCGAAGGCGGCUUUCUGGACUGUAACUGACGUUGAGGCUCGAAAGUGUGGGUAGCAAACAGGAUUAGAUACCCUGGUAGUCCACACCGUAAACGAUGAGUGCUAGAUGUUCGAGGGUUUCCGC